rnacentral:rRNA from 1 species
GUGAGGAAGGGACGCCGCGUUGGGUAGAAGCCUUUCGGGUUGUAAACCCCUGUCAGGAAGUUAAGAAAUGCAAGGGUGUAAAUAGCAUCCUUGCUUGACUAAGGCUCCAGAGGAAGCCACGGCUAACUCUGUGCCAGCAGCCGCGGUAAUACAGAGGUGGCAAGCGUUGUUCGGAAUUAUUGGGCGUAAAGAGCACGUAGGCGGCUCUGCAAGUCAGCUGUGAAAGCCUUCUGCUUAACGGAAGAACAGCAGUUGAUACUACAGAGCUUGAGUGUGGGAGGGGAGAGUGGAACUUCUGGUGGAGCGGUGAAAUGCGUAGAUAUCAGAAGGAACGCCGGCGGCGAAAGCGACUCUCUGGCCCGUAACUAACGCUGAGUGUGCGAAAGCUAGGGGAGCAAACGGGAUUAGAUACCCCGGUAGUCCUAGCCGUAAACGAU